rnacentral:rRNA from 1 species
UACGGGGGGGGCAAGCGUUGUUCGGAAUUACUGGGCGUAAAGGGCUCGUAGGUGGCCAACUAAGUCAGACGUGAAAUCCCUCGGCUUAACCGGGGAACUGCGUCUGAUACUGGAUGGCUUGAGUUUGGGAGAGGGACGCGGAAUUCCAGGUGUAGCGGUGAAAUGCGUAGAUAUCUGGAGGAACACCGGUGGCGAAGGCGGCGUCCUGGACCAACACUGACACUGAGGAGCGAAGGCCAGGGGAGCAAACGGG